UCGCCUCUUGCAAAAACAACGAAUAAGAGGUCCCGCCUGCCCUGUGACUUAAAGUUUAACGGCCGCGGUAUUUUGACCGUGCGAAGGUAGCGCAAUCACUUGUCUUUUAAAUGGAGACCUGUAUGAAUGGCACAACGAGGGCUUAACUGUCUCCUCUUUCCAGUCAAUGAAAUUAAUCUUCCCGUGCAGAAGCGGGAAUAUACUCAUAAGACGAGAAGACCCUAUGGAGCUUUAGACACUAAGACGAAUCAUGUUAAGUACCUCUAAAUAAAGAACCAAACCAGAUGAACCUCGCCCUAUAUGUCUUUGGUUGGGGCGACCGCGGGGAAAUACAAAACCCCCACGUGGAAUGGGAACACCCCUCCUACAACUCAGAGCUCCCGCUCUAAUAAGCAGAACUUCUGACCAAUCAGAUCCGGCAAAGCCGAUCAACGGACCGAGUUACCCUAGGGAUAACAGCGCAAUCCCCUUCUAGAGCCCAUAUCGACAAGGGGGUUUACGACCUCGAUGUUGGAUCAGGACAUCCUAAUGGUGCAGCCGCUAUUAAGGGUUCGUUUGUUCAACGAUUAAAG
rnacentral:rRNA from 1 species